rnacentral:sRNA from 1 species
CCUGCACCUGCUCAUUUCUGGCCAUUGUGAUCUUGCAUAAUCCUUGAUGUUCUUCUGCUCUGUGCUCCGCGCUUGUGUAGUUUCUAAUGAUUCUUUCACAUAGCUCUUAAUGUUCUUCCGCUCCAUGCUCUGUGCUUGUGUAGUCUCUAAUGAUUCUUCUGUGUAGCUUCUUAUGUUCCCCUGCUCUGUGUUCCACACUUGUGUAGUCUCUAAUGAUUCUUUCACAUAGCUCUCAAUGAUUCCUCUGCUCCACAUUCUGCGCUUGUGUAACUUCUAACAAUUCUUACACAUACCCCUUAAUGUUCUUCUGCUCCGCGCUCCACUGUGGAGCGGCUUCUGAUAUUCUUCCACCCCGAACUUUCCUCUAUAAGAACCCCCUUCGUACGACCUUUUCUUCUGAUUUCUUUUCUCUUUCUUUCCUUAAUCAAUUCGUAAUCUGUAAUUAGGAU